rnacentral:rRNA from 1 species
AUGGGCGCAAGCCUGAUCCAGCCAUGCCGCGUGAGUGAUGACGGCCUUAGGGUUGUAAAGCUCUUUCGCUAGGGACGAUAAUGACGGUACCUAGACAAGAAGCCCCGGCUAACUUCGUGCCAGCAGCCGCGGUAAUACGAAGGGGGCUAGCGUUGUUCGGAAUUACUGGGCGUAAAGCGCGUGUAGGCGGGCUUUUAAGUCAGGGGUGAAAUGCCAAGGCUCAACCUUGGAACUGCCUUUGAUACUGGAAGUCUUGAGUCCGGGAGAGGUGAGUGGAACUGCGAGUGUAGAGGUGAAAUUCGUAGAUAUUCGCAAGAACACCAGUGGCGAAGGCGGCUCACUGGCCCGGAACUGACGCUGAGACGCGAAAGCGUGGGGAGCAAACAGGAUUAGAUACCCUGGUAGUCCACGCUGUAAACGAUGGAUGCUAGCCGUUGGGGAGCUUGCUCUUCAGUGGCGCAGCUAACGCUUUAAGCAUCCCGCCUGGGGAGU